ACGCCCGCCUGGAGAAAAUGACCUUCCUUUCCCGGUAAAUGACCUGCCUUCCCAAUUAGGGAGCAUUCACCGAAAGGACGGGUUAAAGAGGAAACGACCCUUCUCCCCGCUUUAUUUUUUAACUAGCAGCACUCCGAGGACUGCAAAGAGCUGCAGCCCAACCCUCCGCCUGGGAUCACGCCGUGGGGUUCGGCCCGGCCCGGCUCGCGAGCCCAGGCCGCGGGGCACCGGGAGGCCAUUUUGCGCGUGCGCCGCUCGCCUCGCGCCGCCCGCAGCUCGGCGGACUCCGCUCCCGCCAAUUUUGAAAGCUAGAUUCUCAGGCCCUAGCAGGCUGGGGAGGAGGGGAAACGAAGUCCUUUCUCCAAGUCCGGACCCCGUGGCGAGCUGCGGCGACAGCCGGGUGCGUGCGACCUCACAAAGCGGCCCCCGCCCGCCGAAGCUUUUCCACCGAGAGGGACACCGAGGCGCGGCAACUGGCCGCCUGUCCUAUGUCCCCGGGAGGCGGCGGCUUCGCGUGCAAAGCCCUCAGAAGCGCAUCCUUACGGGGGUCAUUCCAGAUCAUCGUCUCGCUUUGCCCUUCUCCCUGUGGCUGCUUCAAUCCCUAUCCUCUUGCCCCUUCAAUAACAAGAUGUCCUUGGAGUUUGGGGUUUUGUUGGGAAAAAAAUUGUAAGCCAAAUUAUUAAUCAAUAUAAAACUGCCAUCCUGGGGGUUCCUAAAGGCUGAGCUUCGUGGACUGGAAAGGCCGAUGGGAGAGAGUCCUUAACCCUCUUAACAGGCUGAACUUGUCUAAUAGGUGGAAUGGACUCUAAUACCCUGGGAAGGAAACUUGACCAGGUGAUAGUGUCGAGGAAGUGAGUGGCCGCGCAACAGGAAUGUCAAGAUCUGGGUGAAGGACCACACUUCGGGACCCAAAGGCGACGCCUAGGUCUCCGGCCAGGGCAAAACUGGAAGGUCCGGCGGCCUGGAAACCCCGGCAGGGUAGAGGAUCGAGCGGUCGGAGGUUGGGACGUCGCCUCUGACAGCCACCAGGACGCAGAGGUUUCCUGCAGAGUCCGCGCCUGCCUAAUUCUCCGGGGGCAGAAACGCUUUUCUGGCCCAGGACUCCCACGUGCGCCCAAAAACCGGGAGAGAGAGGGACGGCUUGGGACCGCAUCCCAGCCCUGGGCUCUCCGCCUCACAUCUCUCGGGAGCAAGGAAGAGAAAGGCGGGCCAGGCCUGGCGGGAAGGGACGCACCCGACGAGAGGCGGCUCCUCCCUAGGUGUCGGGUUAGUCUCUCGGACUCGCGAUUCCAGCUCGGCCCGGCGCCCUCCGGAGACCCGGGGGAGGUAAACACCUCUCGGGAGUCUCAGGACGUCGGCGGGCGUCACCCUGGGUCACCCUUUCUUCGAGGGUCACCAUGAAAAGCCCCCGAAGCGCGAGGUGCCUAUCGAGUGGAGAACAAAGGGCCGAGGGGCGAGCGCGAGGCGAGUCCGCGCGCGGUUGCCCUUGGCUGGGCCCAGCUCGGAGGCGGGGGGCACCGGCUGUGCGGACUCCGAGCCCGGAAGGGAGGAGGCGGCAGCGCUGGGAAGUCCGCGGCCCCCGCCUACCCCGGCGGACUGGAAGAGCCCCCAGUCUUCGAGCCAGAGCUGCCAUGUUGCAUUCGCGGAGGACACCAGUGAUUUGACGCUCCCGAGGCAGCGACACCCCCGACCCGAGAGCCCUUUGGGGGAGCCCUACGAGCGUCACAGCCCUAAGGGAUGGCGGGCCGCGGGAGGGAACCCGAUCCCGGCGGGCUGCGGAGCCGGCACGGCCGCGGCGCCGCCGCUUCCCCUCGCCACCUUCCUUCCAGGGGCUGCGGGGCUGCGCGCUCGGCAGAGGCUCGGUUGCCAGUAGCAACCACACGACGGCGAUUUGCAGCCAAGGCUGCAGCCGCCGGUACAGCCGCCGCCGCCUCGUACAUCUCGGUGUCUAGCAUUCAGAACCCUGGGGGUUGCCCUCGCUGACAAGUCUCGCCCCCGCCCCGGGGUCCUCAUCCUCCAGGACCCUCAGCUCCGCUCGAAAGCAAGCUCCCCCGGCUCGGCCCUGCCCCCACGGCAGACAAUAGACAAAUAGGCUCGGAGCACACUGCAGCGCGGUGCUGAGCCGGCACCUGAGCCCCCGGGAUCCUGGUGCUCGGCUUCGUCCCAGCCCCAGGUGCCCUUGUCUCCAACUUUAGCCGAAAUUCUUUGUCAGUGGCCAGUCCAUUAAGAAGCCUUUCUCGACAUCAGCAGUAAGGAUAGUGGUAAAGAAAGAAGUCAAGACAAGACGCCCACUCCCUUUUUAGUAACAUCGACACAAAGAGCUUAGGGUUGUUUGGUCUUGGUAGCGAUGGCUUCCCUCUGGGUUAGAGCCACAGUCAAACCGUACCGUCUUCCCUCUUCUUUGUCUACCACGAAUAUUUUGCAUGAAAUUCAUAAUAUAACUUUCCAACAUUACCUCCAGAUACUUGUCUUUUACAGAAGUGGAU
ensembl:lncRNA